UCAAAUUCCGUGAAGGGAAGAGUAGCAAAGGAAUUGGCAAAAGCGAGCCGGAGAUUGGUGAGAGUCCGGCGGUCAUGAAGCUUGUGAAGUGCAUCCCGGAGAAGUCGCUUUGAAACCAACAGGGAGUAGAAACGACCGGCGAAGGCCGUUAAAGCUUUUAAAGAAGGCGUAAAGCCUUGAAAAAGAGUGGAACCGCGAAUAUAUCUCGCCUCUUGC
rnacentral:ncRNA from 1 species